AACGAACGCUGGCGGCAGGCUUAACACAUGCAAGUCGAACGCCCCGCAAGGGGAGUGGCAGACGGGUGAGUAACGCGUGGGAACGUGCCCUAAGGUACGGAACAACUCCGGGAAACUGGAGCUAAUACCGUAUGUGACCGAGAGGUGAAAGAUUUAUCGCCUUAGGAUCGGCCCGCGUCAGAUUAGCUAGUUGGUGGGGUAAUGGCCUACCAAGGCGACGAUCUGUAGCUGUUCUGAGAGGAAGAUCAGCCACACUGAGACUGAGACACGGCCCAGACUCCUACGGGAGGCAGCAGUGGGGAAUCUUGGACAAUGGGCGCAAGCCUGAUCCAGCCAUGCCGCGUGAGUGAUGAAGGCCUUAGGGUUGUAAAACUCUUUCGCCGAGGACGAUAAUGACGGUACUCGGAGAAGAAGCUCCGGCUAACUUCGUGCCAGCCGCCGCAGUAA
rnacentral:rRNA from 1 species